UACGGAGGGUGCGAGCGUUGUCCGGAAUCACUGGGCGUAAAGGGCGCGUAGGCGGCCUGAUAAGUAGGGGGUGAAAUCCUGCGGCUUAACCGCAGGGCUGCCUUCUAAACUGUCAGGCUUGAGCACAGUAGAGGCAGGUGGAAUUCCCGGUGUAGCGGUGGAAUGCGUAGAGAUCGGGAAGAACAUCAGUGGCGAAGGCGGCCUGCUGGGCUGUUGCUGACGCUGAGGCGCGACAGCGUGGGGGAGCAAACAGG
rnacentral:rRNA from 1 species